GUGAGGAAUAUUGGACAAUGGGCGCAAGCCUGAUCCAGCCAUGCCGCGUGAGUGAUGAAGGCCUUAGGGUUGUAAAGCUCUUUCACCGGGGAAGAUAAUGACGGUACCCGGAGAAGAAGCCCCGGCCAACUCCGUGCCAGCAGCCGCGGUAAUACGGAGGGGGCUAGCGUUGUUCGGAAUUACUGGGCGUAAAGCGCACGUAGGCGGCUUGUCAAGUUGGGGGUGAAAGCCCGGAGCUCAACUCCGGAACUGCCCUCGAAACUGGCUCGCUAGAGUCCGGGAGAGGUGAGUGGAAUUCCCAGUGUAGAGGUGAAAUUCGUAGAUAUUGGGAAGAACACCAGUGGCGAAGGCGGCUCACUGGACCGGUACUGACGCUAAGGUGCGAAAGCGUGGGGAGCAAACAGG
rnacentral:rRNA from 1 species